GACGGAAGGGAAUAAAAAAAGAAAGAAAAAAAGAAAAGAAGAAGAACCUAGUCCUUGUGAGAGUAAUUAUCAAUUGGAAGAAACUUGGCGUAUCGCUCGGCCUUCGCUCCUGAUUUGUGUUCAUAAUAUUCAACAACUGCAGCGCCAGCAAGAGCAGCUAAGGUCAAAGCCUGUGCGUGUAACCUAGCGUGGAUGAUCUUCACGCUGGUCUUCAUAUUCGGUUGAGACCAAUUGUACGCAAUAGAACCCGCAAUCCCACUAAGCCACAGAGAUCCGACGGUGCGAAGCUUGUGCUCGGAAACCCAGUCCCUGAGGGAUUCGAGUUUGCCCUUGGAUUCAGCCAUGGAUGACGGGGACAGAAAUCGGCGAAGGAAUAUGAAGAGAAAGAGAGAGAGAAGGAAGAAAGAAAGAAAGAAAG
rnacentral:misc_RNA from 1 species